AUUGAACGCUGGCGGCAUGCCUUACACAUGCAAGUCGAACGGUAACAGGUCUUCGGAUGCUGACGAGUGGCGAACGGGUGAGUAAUACAUCGGAACGUGCCUAGUAGUGGGGGAUAACUACUCGAAAGAGUGGCUAAUACCGCAUGAGAUCUACGGAUGAAAGCAGGGGAUCGCAAGACCUUGUGCUACUAGAGCGGCCGAUGGCAGAUUAGGUAGUUGGUGGGAUAAAAGCUUACCAAGCCGACGAUCUGUAGCUGGUCUGAGAGGACGAUCAGCCACACUGGGACUGAGACACGGCCAAGACUCCUACGGGAGGCAGCAGUGGGGAAUUUUGGACAAUGGGCGCAAGCCUGAUCCAACAAUGCCGCGUGCAGGAUGAAGGCCUUCGGGUUGUAAACUGCUUUUGUACGGAACGAAAAGCCCUGGAUUAAUACCCUGGGGUCAUGACGGUACCGUAAGAAUAAGCACCGGCUAACUACGUGCCAGCCGCCGCGGUAACAC
rnacentral:rRNA from 1 species